rnacentral:rRNA from 1 species
ACAGAGGGUGCAAGCGUUGUCCGGAAUCACUGGGCGUAAAGGGCGCGUAGGCGGCCUGGUAAGUCGGAGGUGAAACGCUGCGGCUCAACCGCAGCACUGCCUUCGAGACUGCUGGGCUUGAGCACGGUAGAGGCUGGUGGAAUUCCCGGUGUAGCGGUGGAAUGCGUAGAGAUCGGGAAGAACAUCGGUGGCGAAGGCGGCCAGCUGGGCCGUUGCUGACGCUGAGGCGCGACAGCGUGGGGAGCAAACAGGAUUAGAUACCCUGGUAGUCCACGCCGUAAACGAUGGGUACUAGGCGUCGGGGGGAGCGACCCCCUCGGUGCCGUCGCUAACGCAGUAAGUACCCCGCCUGGGGAGUACGGUCGCAAGACUG